rnacentral:lncRNA from 1 species
UUCCCCCAGGAGAGCAUUAACUCCUUGGGAGGGCAGGAACUAUUUUUGUUUCAUUCUAGUUUUUGUAUUUAAGGCACUUAAGCCAAGCUUUAGGAAAGUCAUUUGGUGCCUGAUCGCAGCUGAAAGACUUCACAUCCAACUUGGAGAGAAAAGGUCACUUAAAGGAUCAAGGAAUUUCAGAGUUGGAAGGAACCUCAGAGGACAUCUAGUCUCCCCAGCAUCCCUGCCUCAGAUUGAAGAC